GUCUGGAACACCUUCAUGGAGCACGUGACAUUGGACCUUAGUCCAAUGUGGGGAGGGCCACUGUGCAGGAAGGACUUCUAAUGCACCAAACAUGGUGGCAGAUGCUUUACAGAGAGCCUUAGUGCAGCAGCACCCAGUGUUUUUGGCACCAAGUAUGGUUGAAGAAGAGAUAUUUUUAUGGAGGUUAAUUUUUUAAUUACUUAGUGAUGGAUACACGUGAUAGAAUAUAUGUAAAGUAUCCAUGAAUGCUUCACUUAACCUAAGAGCUCUGGUUCUAAGAACCAGAACAUCACCAGUACAGUGGUACCAUACUCCAUCACCUCCCUAGUAACUGUCCUCCAGGAAGAGCUUUUGAAGAUGGGCUGAACUGAAGCAUGUUCAAGGACUAUGAGGAAGGAACAAUAGAGUGGGAAGAUCUUGUGGAGUCCCUGAAGGAAGAAGAACGGGAUAGACUGUGAGUACAGGACAGAAGAGUGAACAGAAAAAUCAUUCCUUGCCCUGAGCCAGGAGGAGAGGAGUGAGAGUUGACGUACAUUUCGAUGAGUUGAGAGAGAAUGAGGAUAGGAAGCUGGGACAGCACUUUCCAGAUGACCCCCAUCUGUUCCUCAAUAGGAUGAUGAUGAUGAUGAUGAAGAUGAAGAUGAUGAUGAUGAUGAUGAUGAUGAUGAUGAUGAUGAUGAUGAUGAUGAUGAUGAUGAUGAUGAUGACAUAAUGAUGAUAAAUGAGGCAGUAAUGUUGUUAGGACCUUGAGGGGAAUAAGCUGACCAGAGAUACAUAAUGGAUUCUUGCCAAGCAGCACCAAGAGCCUGCCCAAUGGAUCUGCAGUGGCUCCUUCCAGCCAAUUAUAUGAUCUCCUCCAGUGGUUCUCAACAAACCCAGUGAGUAGAGGAAUUGACAGAUAGCUGGAUGGACCCAAGGUGCACAACUUACCUGUGUGGGUCUAGUCCAAAUAGAACAAAUCCAAAUUGAUAAAGCAGCUUGUAAGAAUUGGGUUGGAGGACGCACCCUAGGAUAUUGGCUACCCAGAAAAGAAUAGGAAAGGAGAUGGGGCUGUCCUGUGGGCAAGGGAAACAUCAAGGGAAAUGUACCUCUAAAUGAGGUGGGAGAACAGAGGACACAGUAAAGCACUGAGGUAAGUGUCAAAUGAGCGCUGUAAAGUGCUAACUAAGUUUGCAUCUGGCUGUGACACCUAUCAGCUAUGUAGCCUUGGGCAGAUUUCUAACAUCUUUGAACCCCCAUGAUCUUACUCAUAACAAUUCCUCUCUUAAGGGGUUGUCACCCUAAGCUCAAACGAGGGAGCUGUGAAAGUUCAUUGUAAGCUGUGUGCAAAUGUCAGCAGUGAUGAAUCAGGCAAGGAGGUCAAGACAGCCUUCAGGUUUCCACCAGGACUGGGACUCAGUAAGUCAUUCCUCCCCGUCANNNNNNNNNNNNNNNNNNNNNNNNNNNNAGUCAUUCCUCCCCGUCAUUUGGGUGGCUGCUUUUCCCUUACUCUGCCCUUGUCCUUCCCGAAUCUCAUUUGGUUGGUUUCUGACCAAUCUCUAAAACCUACUCGAGUCAAUUUGAAUUCUAAUCUGAUCCUCCAAGGUGCCCCUCCAGCCUCAGCUGGGUGUCAUCUAUGAAAUUAAUGAGCGUGCUCUCUGUUUCAUCAUCUAGUUCAUUGCUGGAAA
rnacentral:lncRNA from 1 species